GGAAUUAAACAAGACAUUCACAGAAGAAUUUGAUGAUACAACAAGUUCUGCGUACAGGAACCUUGAAAAAGCCAUUACUUCCGUGUUAAAAACGCAGUAUCAAGGACUCACAGGAUUUAAGGAUGCUUUUGUGAAAGGAUUCAGAAAAGGAAGCAUAAUUGCAGACUUUGUUGUUCAGACAACACAAGUUAACUCAUCGCAAGUGUCUGUAGUAAAUAAAAGACUUCCAGACGCGUUACGGUCUAUUGCUCCUGUCAUUGGCUCAGUUUCUGCAUUCUACAACAGUCCAAAAUCAAUCAGCAUUACCUCCCCCACCCCC